rnacentral:misc_RNA from 1 species
GGGGCUUUCCUUGACCACUGGCUCGAACAAUUCCUUCAGCUCCUACAUCUCUAGUCACCUUCACAGUAUCGGAUGACUCUGCAACUGCUCUUGGACCAUUCCUGGGAGUUUCUGCNCCUUUAUUUGAUACUUUGGACGCUCUCUUAUUCUUUCCAGAAGCCUUGGGCUCUUUCUAGCAUUUCUAAUAAAUCGAUGCUUCAAAAGCUC